ensembl:lincRNA
UAUGGUAAUAUUUCUUUACCUAAUUGGCCUUAUUAUUUCCCUUAGAAGCUUUCAAACUCAGAGAGGCAAGAGCUUCGGUUUUGUGAUAGAUGUCUCCAAUAGGAAAAUAAGCAGGAUGAAUGUGCAGUGCCACAAGGGUCUGAAGAAUGAAAACAAGGAAAGGAUAAACCAUUUACACAGCUGUGGACAAGAGAAAGAAGAUACUGUUCUUGCUGUUGAUGGUUCUAUAAUCCUUCAGCUAGUUCUGCUAGUUCUUCCAACCCUGACAGUUCAAUAUCUCCCAUUUUGA